AGGAGAAAAUGCGCACGCAUAUGCUGGAAGUUGAGCGCAGGCUUAUGCAGGCAAGACUUGGUGCCCAAUUGCAACAAUUAAAUGACUAUAGAUUAUGGUUAUUGUCGGAGGGACUGGAUGAUGAUGAGAUAAUAUGCAUAUCAGGAGACAUGAGUAGCAGUCUGCAAAAGGAUAAGAAGGCCAAUGUUAUAACUUUAACUGGCCUCGAAAUCUUUCCCAAGGUAGGAGAACUAGGUGGAGAGACCAUUGUUGGCAACCUCGACGUUCAUCUAUGCAACUUCUAGUCCCAGUUUCCAUUUUCAUUUCAUCUGCGCAGACAUACAGAGAACUUUCUUUCGAGUUGGAGAUGAGAAGACGCAGCCUCUUUUGCACUUCCAUUUUCAUCACCCCGUCAAGAUGGGGGCAGAAAUGAGGCAGGAUAUCCAAUUCCGUUUGAUGCAAACCCCUGUGGGGCAGAGGACAUCUUAUAAUGAUUCGGAGAAGCAAACCAGGGAUGGGGAAGACUUAAAGAACUUUGUCAAUAAAGUGGAAGACAAAUGGAGUACGUAUACAUUUCAUGUUGCUGAGGUUCUUAAGAGGAAAGAAUUUCAGGGAAAUCUUCGCUCCAAGGCGCCAACCGUCUUUGGCCUGACUUUUUAUGCCCUAGUUGGGCUUGUAGAUGAACCUUUCGUUGUGGCCUACCUAGACAAGAUCGAGAUUGUUAGUCUGAGGCUUAAACCUGCGGUAAUAGAUAUGACUAUCGUUUUUCAGGACUUCAAGCGUGAUCUGAUUCACAUAAACUCAAUUCCCAUAGCCGCGCUCGGUCUCAUAAAAGACAGCUUUAACUCAGUCGUGGAUGUUCACACAAUGAAAAUUAUGUCCAUGCUAUUAUGGAAAAUCAGGUUUUAAUUUUCAAAUAUUUAAAGUUUUGCUUGUUUUUGCAGGUUUUAAGGAACAAGCAAGUUUUGAAGUGCUAACUCUUAUAUCACAAUCACCGCGUUAGUGGAAUCGUAAAGAGCUGGUUUGCAAAGAUGUCUGAUUCCCAAGAUAAUGAUACCUCCAGCAAUGACACAUGUAUGGAUGAGACUUCUAUUGGUGAAGAAUGAGAGGAAGAAAUACCUGGAGUCAAAAAUAUCCCGAAUACUGAUGAUAAAUUAUUCGUAUUUCAGAACAGACGUUAAAAACGUCUCGGAACUCCAGCAUUUUAUCUUCUGAUAAAUCCUAGAACUCAUGUGGACAUCCGAUUCUAUCUCCAGAAAGGACAUUUUUCUUCUUCAAUCGUAAAAUCCAAUCUUUCUCGACGACCUUUGGAAAAAUUCCCUAGAUGGGUAAGGCAUAUGCUGGGUUUUCCUCGUGUUCGAGACAUACUGGAUCAUGCACAGGUAACAAGAGCUAUUCAAGCAUCUAGAGACUUGUUUAUCUUUCAGGAUGCGCGAGGUAUAGUAUCUCUGCUUGGUCGCUGGUGCAUUCAGACCUAUACUUUCAUAUGCAGAUGGGGAGAGUUUACCAUCACUUUAGAAUACGUAGUUGCUUUAUUGCACCUCCCAGUCACGGGCUAUUUUCCUGAAAAACUUUCAGCAGAGGAGACAACAAUUUUUAAAAUCUUGACGGAUGAGAUGGAAGAAAUUAAUAAAGUAUCCAACAAAUAUUGUUAUGCUCGCUAGUUAAUACACCGGUGGCUGCAAGAUGAAGCUCCUGACAGGCCUGUCGAUGGUAUGUUAUCUAUCACUGUUUUUUUAUACUUAUGGCUGUCCAUAGAUGUAUUUGAAGAUAACGGGAAUUUGUUGAAGCCUUUCAUGAUUCCUUUUACUAUCAAAAUGGCUCAAGGUGAGCAACUCCCGAUAGGUAGUCUAUUCUUGGGCACUAUGUACUCUAACUUACACUCCUGGCACUUUGUACUCUAACUUACAUUCCUUGGUUAUAGACUCUAGCAUCUCAAAUAGCUUUAUGAAAAUUGAGUGCUAUGCCAAUACGAUGUUUCUCCAAGCUUUAUUGUGGGAGCGCUUCAAAAAUUAUGCAAAAAUUCCUCGUAAUAUCCUGCAAGGACCGAAUGAUAACGCUCUCCAUGUAUUCUAUGAGAAAGACAAUGCAAGGAUUAUGCGCUGGUAUACGAAGCAACUCCGAGUCAAGACGCGUCUUUUCGAUGUACAAGACGAUGAGUAUGAGUUCAAUUUUGUCCCAUGGGUGUCAAUUCCUUCUUAUGUUUCCCAGUUGAAAACUUUCAAUGCCGGAUAAAGUAUUGCCUUGAAGUCCGAUACAGAUCGAAGCGAUGGCGAGAGAUCUUUUAUGCUGAGUUGCACUCCUGGUUACUUAGUAUCAGCAGUACAUGGAGAAUUUUCAGUGGAAGAAUAUAAUAUUGACAGAACAUCCCGACAAAUGGGUAUGGAUCAUUGUGUAACACACCGUGUUUUUUUAGCAUGGCGCAUGCUAAAAGAUGCGCCAUUUGCUUGUGAUGAAGCUUCAUCCAAAGAUUCUUAGCAUAGUGAGAUGUAAUUGGCCCGAAGCCAUAUUUGGUUCCAAGUAAGGCACAUCGCGUAUGCAUAUUGGCUAAGGCCAAUAUGGAAUUAGUUGGGGGCUAUAUUGGACAAGGGACAAUCUUGCAUCAAAUGAUGCAUUAGGCCAGUUGGGUAGAUGGCCUUAAAAAUGUACAUCCAACAUGGUUGGACAUCGAGUUGGUGAUGUGCAGCCAACACGGCUGGGCUGGCAGCAGACAGCUAACAUGGCUGGAAAUCGGGUUGGUAAUGUACAACCAUCAAGGCUGGACUUUGGAGUGGCCUAUGUGACAAAGUUGGAAAUACAUCCAUCACGACCCUUUAUCAGGUCUGGCUCUGGAAAUGUUUAGCCGUCAUGGUCGGACAGUGGAACUGGCAUGUGAGCCAAAACUGAAUGUACAUCAAUCUUGGCCGGUUAUUCAGGAAAAACAUAUGGCAACUACCAUGAAUAGUAAAUGGGGAGUUUAUGAAUGAUUUUUGGUCCCCCAAUUCAAGUUGUAAAAAUGUCAAGUUAACAUAUAUAAGGAGGGGUAGCUGGUUGAAGGUGUAUAUGCGGACUAUGUACCAAAUAAGCUUCAUAUCUAAUCCAGAACGGUAUGAAUGAUGCAUAAGCCUCAUUCUAAGUUGUGUAGCCUUACGAAUGGAGAAGAUGAUGCGGAGGCAUCACUAUGCCAUUCCACGGACUCGAUGAUCCAUUACUUGGAUGUAUUUGACGAAACGGCCUAUACGGACUAGGCCAUUACCACUAUUGUUUGGCCACGACCUAGAAAAUGAGUUGGAUUAAGUUUCUUGUCCCUUCGUGGAUGAACUACGGUCUGUGCUUGAUCCCUUUAUAGUAGGGAAGGGUACGUAGGCAGCCGCAAUGAGUUGCAGCAUUGUCGGUCCAGCACGUUGGACCCUCAUAUCAUCUAAGCUCGGUGGCUCGAUGCGAGAGAUGAUUGUGGCCAGAAUUUAUGAGGAAUGUUGCAUGAGUAAGUGGAUGCUCAUACUUCCUAUCAAUCUACGGAGAGUCGGUAAGCGAAGUAGGGGAAUGAUGAUAGACUUGGUGCGGCCUAUGUCUAAGUCCAAGGCAUAUGCCUUAUGCCUGGACAAGACUCGGUAACUGACAGUUGCUCAGCUAGAUAGGAAAUUCAGUGAUGAAUUCCCUACGUUGAGGUAGACCAAGUGAUGCAUGCAAUAUGAAUUGGACUUGGCCUUAUGGCCUUACACCCUUCUCCGGACGAGGGUGACUUUGGAAUGGUGUGGAAGCUAAGUUAGCUGCAUCAUGAUCCAUGAACAUGUUUUCAAGGGAAGAUGGACGUGCAUUUUCUUGGGGAUGAGGCCCGUAUUGUAGCUUCAUCAUGGCGCACCGGGGGAGUUACGGCCUGCGGGGCAACGCGCCAAAGGCGUAAUUUUUCCGGUCCGUCACAAUUGGUAUCAGAGCAAGUUCUAAGAAAACUUUAGAGACUUGUGCGGAGUGGACUCGUCAAGCGAUUACUUUUCUUAAUGGAAAUUUAAAGUUGGAGAGUAGGCCAACUUUUACGCGGGAAAGAGUAGUAACUGCAGCGCCAGUUACUUUGCGAAUCAAGUUGAGCUUGUUCAAGUAGUGUGAAUUUUCCUGGAUUCUGUAGCACCCCACUUACGAGUGGAUAUCCGGAAGAGCGUCUGGGACGGUGGGUAGACAAUGAGACUGAUCAUCCCCACACGUUGGCACUGUCCAAGGGUGUGCUUUGUCAGGCCCGGCUAGCAUCCCACUUACGAGUGGCAACCCAGAUGACCGUCAGGGACGGUGGGCAACUGGAUACUGAUCCACGUAGUACUGCGUUAAGAUUUUGCAUGUCAUUGACUUCUGAACUUUAGGGACUUCUGAGUGCGUAGUAUGGGAUGCACAUUCAAGAUACAUGGUCGAGAUAUACUCUUGGGACUUUCCAAUUGUGAUUCUUGGUAUUGUUGUGGGCACUUUUGGAUUCCUGGGCAGGUGGUAUGGAACAUUUGCUCAGAAUAUAUAAAUUGUUGUUCAUGACAACUUGAAGAAACCCGUGAUUUCUGAGCAUCUGGUAUGAGACUUUUUCUCAGGAAAUCCACACCGAAGAGAUUGUCCACAAUAGUUUUUAUUUUGAAUUUCGAGGACGAAAUUCUUUGAAGGGUGUAAUAAUGUAACACCUAGUGUUUUUUUAACAUGGUGCAUGCUAAAACAUGCGCUAUUUUCUUGUGACGAAGCUUCAUCCAAAGCUUCUUAGCAUUGUGAGAUGCAAUUGGCCCGAAGCCAUAUUUGGUGCCAAGUCAGGCACAUCGCAUAUGCAUAUUGGCUAAGGCCAAUAUUACAUUAGUUGGGGGAUACAUUUGCCAAGGGACAAUCUUGCAUCAAAUGAUGCACUAGGCCAGUUGGGUAGAUGGCCUUGAAAAUUUACAUCCAAAAUGGUUGUACAUCGAGUUGGUAAUGUGCAGACAACACGGCUGGACAUCGGGCUGGCAGCGGACAGCCAACAUGGUUGGAAAUCGGGUUGAUAAUGUACAACCAUCAUGGCUGGACUUUGGAGUGGCAUAUGGGCCAAAGUUGGAAAUACAGCCAUCAUAGCCCUUUAUCGGGUCUAGCUCUGGAAAUGUUCAGUCGUCAUGGCCGGACAUUGGAACUGGCAUGUGAGCCAAAACUGAAUGCACAUCCAUCUUGGCCGGUUAUUCAGGAAAAACAUAUGUCAACGGCCAUGAAUAGUAAAUAGGAAGUUGAUGAAUGAUUUUUAGUCCCCCAAUUCAAGUUGUAAAAAUGUCAAAUUAACAUAUAUAAGGAGGGGUAGUUGGUUGAAGGUGCAUAUGCGGACUAUGAACCAAAUAAGCUUCAUAGCUUAGACAGAACGGUAUGAAUGAUGCAUAAGCCUGAUUCUUAGUUGUGUAGCCUUACGAAUGGAGCAUAUGAUGCGGAGGCAUCACUAUGCCAUUCCACGGACUCGAUGAUCCAUCACUUGGAUGUAUUUGACGAAACGGCCUAUACGGACUAGGCCAUUACCACUAUUGCUUGGCCACGGCCUAGCAAAUGAGUUGGAUUAAGUUUCUUGUCCCUUAGUGGAUGAACUACGGUAUGUGCUUGAUCCCUUUAGAGUAGGGAAGGGUACAUAGGCAGCCGCAAUGAGUUGCAGCAUUGUCGGUCCAGCACGUUGUCCCCUCAUAUCAUCUAAGCUCAGUGGCUCGAUGCGAGAGAUGAUUGUGGCCAGACUUGAUGAGGAAUGUUGUAUGCCAUUAAGUGGAUGCUCAUACUUCCUAUCAAUCUACGGAGAGUCGGUAAGCGAAGUAGGGGAAUGGUGAUAGACUUGGUGCGGCCUAUGCCUAAGUCCAAGGCAUAUGCCUUAUGCCUGGACAUGACUCGGUAACUGACGGUUGCUCAUCUAGAUAGGAAAUUCAGUGAUGAAUUCCCUACGUUGAGGCAGACCAAGUGAUGCAUGCAAUAUGCAUUGGCCUUGGCCUUAUGGCCUUGGCCUUAUGGCCUUGCACCCUUCUGCGGACGAGGGUGACUUUGGAAUGGUGUGGAAGCUAAGUUAGAUGCAUCAUGCUCCAUAAGCAUGUUUACAAGGGAAGAUGGAUGUGCAUUUGCAUGGGGAUGAUGCUCGGAUCAUAGCUUCAUCAUGGCGCACCGGGGGAGUUACGGCCUGCGGAGAAACGCGCCAAAGCGUAAUUUUCCGGUCCGUCACACAUUGUGUUCUGACUUUUCGAAAGAAGAAGCCAUCAGUCGAACAAAUUAAUACUUAUUUAGAUCGUACUCAUGUGGAAGGAAGCAAUUACUAGUUCCUUUAUUCUGAGCGGAUUACGAACGUAACACCUGGUUACAUAGACUUUUGGAAUCAACAACUUGACCGCUUACAUAGUUUUGCGAUGGUUGUUUAAGCUCUAGUAAAAGAUCCUCCUUAUCCUGAAAUGAGUUUCAUUCGACCAAGACUGAAGCCUCUCUCUGGUGGAGAUAAACGAAAGGCAUCUCCUGGGUGUUCACCAAUGGACGUAUCGUGAGACCUGGAAUUGAUGUAAACUUCUUAUAAAUUGAGAAAAUUAUUCACGGCGGAGAAGGCAGGAGAAAAAAACUAUAGGAUGUUACCUAACACCAUAAAGUCCCAGUUGUUUCUUUGAAUUUUGCUCCAUCAUGUAUCGGCGGUCUUCAAUUCUCUGCGGCUGAGCAAGCUGUUUCUGAAUCGAGUGUUGAAGAAGAAGUUGAUGAGGAUGUUAUGGAAAUGGAGAGUAUUGCUCGUUCUUCGGAGUAUCAUGGCAAAGAAGAUUCCCAAAACUCAGAACCGAAUGAAGACAAUGAUUCUCAUAAUGCUAAUACGGGUAAUCCCGGCUCUUCGAAUGCUUCAGAGACCACCCAAGUACCGAAUGACGAAGUUGAGAAUAAUCGAGCGGAUGAUGAUGGUACGAGCAGCAUCAUGAAUCAAAGUGAUGCCAAUACCAUUAUUUCAUCUCAAAUACGUGUGGAGGUUGCUGAUGAAGCUACUAAAGAGACUGAAGCUCAGGUCCUUAUUCCAGGGAUAGAAGAAACCGAUCCAAUGAUGGAAGAAACUGCUCCGUAGGAAGAGGCCGCUCCGAUGCCUAUAGUAGUAUAUGAAUACCCCAAUGCAGGAAUUAUCUUUGAUCCUCCAUUUGUCGAUAUUAUCCAAAAUCAUGAACUGAUUGGCGGAUUCAGCGUACCUACUGAAUAUGCAGGCUUAUACGAGAGGAUAUGAGAGAAGUUUGGUCAUAUUGUCGUUACCAAAGAUCUGAAACACACCUUCUAUUUAACAAGGAAAGUAGGUAUUAUCUUGUGUGUUAUAAAAGAUAUAUGUACUAGAGCUAGAAAUGUCGUUACUCAAGAUAUACCCUUUGAUUGGGGUUCAACUUGGAGAAUUCUGAGAGACAUAGCUUCAACGUGAAAUGGCUUUGCAUGAAGAUAAAUGCUAUCAAGGAUUCUUGCGAGAAUAACAUACCCUUUCCCAAUCCUGCUAUGAUGGAGAAGCAGGACAAGAUUGCUAAGCUGACUGAAGAGAUGGAGUUGGAUAAAGUGGCUUUACGGUUCUUGAAGGAUACAGGGGAGCAGAAGUCUUUCUUCGCUGAUUUCUUUAAUUUCCUUUUCAUGAUCUCUUGAAAUUAGAACUUAUGCGAGAUGUGAGGUUUUUAUUUGUUUUGGUUUUUCGAUAAGUAAAUGAUUGAGGAUUUUUUUUGAAUUUUAAUAGAU